rnacentral:rRNA from 1 species
UACGUAGGGUGCGAGCGUUAAUCGGAAUUACUGGGCGUAAAGCGUGCGCAGGCGGUUCGCCAAGUCAGGUGUGAAAUCCCCGGGCUUAACCUGGGAAUUGCGAUGGAGACUGCAAGGCUAGAAUCUGGCAGAGGGGGGUAGAAUUCCACGUGUAGCAGUGAAAUGCGUAGAGAUGUGGAGGAACACCGAUGGCGAAGGCAGCCCCCUGGGUCAAGAUUGACGCUCAUGCACGAAAGCGUGGGGAGCAAACAGG